rnacentral:lncRNA from 9 species
CCCAGCUAUCUCAGAGAAAGACUAUUAAAAGUUUGACUUAUCUAACCUUCCUUCUUAUGAUUCCAUGAUCUCCAAGCACAUCUAUGAUUUCCAUUUUGGUUUGUCUUCAGUUCUUCAUUUAUUUAUUCGAUCUAUAGAACGAACAGCCUAGCAAAAGAAAAUGUAUUGGUUGUCCUGGAUUUUCACGUCUCAUGACCACGACUUUUCUUGCUCCGAGAAACUCAGAGAAGAAAGUAAUUCCAAAAACCAAGGAGCACAUCUGCUGGAACUGUGUAGCACAUCAGCUGCUGGAGAGUGACAGAGGACAGACAGCUGGUUUCAGAAAAAGUUUGAGACAGCUGGUGAGAUCACUGAACCUGGGAGGCAGUAGGGAGGAAGAGAGGACGUCCCUCGCAGGGCUGAGGUCAAGGCUGCAGCACCAGCGCUUUGACAGGCAAGUCUGCAUGGUCCCAGAGCCCCACGUUUUACUCCUUUUUUAGAAACUUUUUAUGCAAAAAUGAAAGCAAGCAAGACUUUAAG